UCGGCGGUGGAGGCGGGGGCAGGCUGAGGCGGCUCGUCCACUCCCUCGCCAUGGCCGCGUCGGCGCCCGUGCCCGCGCAGCUCCGGAGAGCAUAGACAUGUUGGAUCCACUAACUUCAAUCUACCAAGUAGUAGAAGUCAUACAAUUUUUACACUGAACCUCAUCGAUCUGGCUGGUUCAGAGAGCUCAAGGGCAGAAACAACUGGAGUACGCUGGAAGGAAGGAUCUUAUAUCAAUAAAAGCUUGCUAACUCUUGGAACGGUACACUGUAAGUUUGCCUCCAUAAUAAAUCAGGAUCCAAACUAUGGCGCCAGAGGGCCACAACACUACAUUUUCUUCCUGCGUCUGAAUCUAAUCAAACGAGCAAAAAUAUACUGCUGAGACUCAAUGGAUGAUCUGAAGCACCCAAAAGAAAUAAAGGACAUGUCAGGAGGGAACAAGAAGCUUCGUUUAUCAUUGAUGUUAUGUGUGAUCAAUAAAAACUUGUGUUUCUCAUUCAAUCUUUGUCGAACUAUGUUGAUGUGUGAUUAUGCACUUGUUGGGCCCUUUUGCUGUUCACCUGCACUUGUAGAACUAUUUUGUUGUGCACUUGUUGGACCUUAAAUAUUUAUGUGUAGAGGAGUCGAUAGAUGAUGUAUUGUAAUUCAUGUGAUGUGCUACUGAAAUGAAAUAUAUAAAACUAAUUUGCAAUCUUUUA